UACGGAGGGGGCUAGCGUUGUUCGGAAUUACUGGGCGUAAAGCGCGCGUAGGCGGACCUGCAAGUCGGGGGUGAAAGCCCGAGGCUCAACCUCGGAACUGCCUUCGAUACUGCGGGUCUCGAGUCCGGGAGAGGUGAGUGGAAUUCCUAGUGUAGAGGUGAAAUUCGUAGAUAUUAGGAAGAACACCAGUGGCGAAGGCGGCAUCCUGGCCCUGUCCUGACGCUCAGGGGCGAAAGCGUGGGGAGCAAACCGG
rnacentral:rRNA from 1 species